CGGCGAGUGAAGCGGCAACAGCUCAAAUUUGAAAUCUGACCCUUUGGGUCCGAGUUGUAAUUUGUAGAGGAUGUUUCGGGUAAGAUCGAGGCCUAAGUUCCUUGGAACAGGACGUCAUGGAGGGUGAGAAUCCCGUAUGCGGCCCACGAUCGCACCCAUGUGAAACUCCUUCGACGAGUCGAGUUGUUUGGGAAUGCAGCUCAAAAUGGGUGGUAAAUUUCAUCUAAAGCUAAAUAUUGGCCAGAGACCGAUAGCGCACAAGUAGAGUGAUCGAAAGAUGAAAAGCACUUUGAAAAGAGAGUUAAACAGCAUGUGAAAUUGUUGAAAGGGAAGCGCUUGCGACCAGACUUGUUCGCGGGGUUCAGCCACCGUUCUCGGUGGUGUACUUCCCCGUGUCAGGCCAGCAUCAGUUUGGGCGGGAGGUUAAAGACCGCGGGAAGGUACCAUCCUCCGGGAUGUCUUAUAGCCCGCGGUGUCAUGCUCCCAGCCCGGACUGAGGUACGCGCUCCGGCUCGGAUGCUGGCGUAAUGGUUGCAAGCGACCCGUCUUGAAACACGGACCAAGGAGUCUAACAUCUAUGCGAGUAUUUGGGUGUCAAACCCACAUGCGCAAUGAAAGUGAACGGAGGUGGGAAUCUUCGGAUGCACCAUCGACCGAUCCUGAUGUCUUCGGAUGGAUUUGAGUAAGAGCAUAACUGUUGGGACCCGAAAGAUGGUGAACUAUGCCUGAAUAGGGUGAAGCCAGAGGAAACUCUGGUGGAGGCUCGCAGCGGUUCUGACGUGCAAAUCGAUCGUCAAAUUUGGGUAUAGGGGCGAAAGACUAAUCGAACCAUCUGG
rnacentral:rRNA from 1 species